UCAGUUUAGGGUUUCAUCUUCUUAUUCGAUCUCUCUCAAUUAAUUAGGGUUUCAUCUUCUUCUUCGAUCUGUCAGUGGAUUAACCAGCAAUGGAGAUUCAACAUCUCGCGUUUGACGAAUCGGCGUGAAGAGAAUUUGUAAUUUGCGCCGUUAGCAUCAAAUCGUCUUUAGUUUGUAGACGUUACGUGAUCUAUUGAUUCAUUGUCUUUAAUUAACAUCUUUAAUUAGUCGACGCAAAUUAAGGAAGACGAUUCAUUCAAUGAUAAUCAUCAUAGUUCUAGGCGGUGUUUUCCAUGUAUAAAUAGGUAAUCCUGCAUCCAUUGAGCAUCAUCCUCACAUUUGGUGAUAAUCGAAAGAAGUUAUUUGAAGAGUUCUUUUUUUUUGUUGGUGGUAAUGGCUAAACCCAUCUGUUCUUGGUGGUAAUGGCUAAAUAAGAGGAGAACGAGAAGAAGAAUAUGGAGGUUUGGAAAAGGAUUUAAGCUCAGCUUUGUUGUGUGGAAGAAGAGACCGAGCAAUUGGAACUUGAAGGUUUAGCUGACCCCAUGAGGAAAGAAGUUGCUUUGGCCAGGAAGGAGAAUGAUUCUGUCAACAAAUAAUUAAAGCCAUUGGCAACGUUGUUUGAAGCUUCUUCCUCCUGAAGAGCUUGAGCAUCUUGAUACCUUAGAGCGUAAAGAGUCAAGCUCCACUGUUAAGAAACUUGUGUACCUAACCGGUGCAGAUUCAAGCUCUCCUGUUCGUGGGAACAUGACACGUUUUAAUUUGUUUACUGGGAACCAGACUUUUGCUGAGAGAGAGAGUAGUUUUCAGGUAAGUGAGACAGUUUCGGGGCACUGUGGGUUUUCAACGAGAAUGGAGGGUUUAAAAUUUUGGAUGAGAAUAAGAAGUAUAUGUGAAGUUGUCAAAUUGUAGUCUCCGCAUGUGCUUUUGGUGGGGGAGAUAACCUUGACCAACCUAUUGGAAUGUCUAAGGCGUCAACUCAAAAGGUUUUUCAAUCUGAUUCUCUUGAACUGUUUUAAUUUUUGAACACAUCUUUGGUCUUUUGUUUAACUAUUCUAUCUGCUGCAUGCA